rnacentral:tRNA from 1 species
UGUCCGAUAGUGUAAUGGUAGCACACGGGACUUUGACUCCUUUAGUCUAGGUUCGAAUCCUAGUCGGACAACCA